UUAUAAAAGAAGCACCGGCUAACUUCGUGCCAGCAGCCGCGGUAAUACGAGGGGUGCUAGCGUUAAUCGGAAUUACUGGGCGUAAAGGGUGUGUAGGUUGUGAUAAUAUGUUGUUUGUUAAAUUUAUUAAUAAAAUUAAUAAGAUAAACAAAACUUUAUUACUAGAGUAUAAAAGAAGAAAAUAGAAUUCCAAGAGUAGCAGUGAAAUGCUUAGAUAUUUGGAGGAAUACUAGUGGCGAAGGCGUUUUUCUAUUUUAAUACUGACACUGAUGCACGAAAGCGUGGGGAGCAAACAGGAUUAGAUACCCUGGUAGUCCACGCAGUAAACGUUGUCAACUAUUUAUUAAAUAACAUAAUUUUUAUAAUAAUUUUAAAGUUUUAUAAAUUAUGUAUUUUUAGUGAAAAAGCUAACGCGUUAAGUUGACCGCCUGGGGAU
rnacentral:rRNA from 1 species